GAUGAACGCUGGCGGCGUGCCUAAUACAUGCAAGUCGAGCGAACAGACGAGGAGCUUGCUCCUCUGACGUUAGCGGCGGACGGGUGAGUAACACGUGGAUAACCUACCUAUAAGACUGGGAUAACUUCGGGAAACCGGAGCUAAUACCGGAUAAUAUAUUGAACCGCAUGGUUCAAUAGUGAAAGACGGUUUUGCUGUCACUUAUAGAUGGAUCCGCGCCGCAUUAGCUAGUUGGUAAGGUAACGGCUUACCAAGGCAACGAUGCGUAGCCGACCUGAGAGGGUGAACCGGCAAAACGGAAACGAAAAACGGUUCAGACUCCUACGGGAGGCAGCAGUAGGGAAUCUUCCGCAAUGGGCGAAAGCCUGACGGAGCAACGCCGCGUGAGUGAUGAAGGUCUUCGGAUCGUAAAACUCUGUUAUUAGGGAAGAACAAAUGUGUAAGUAACUAUGCACGUCUUGACGGUACCUAAUCAGAAAGCCACGGCUAACUACGUG
rnacentral:rRNA from 1 species